CAGGCUUCCUGUUCCUUAAGUGGAGUCCUAUUAAGAAUCACUUUCCUCUUUUCAAGUUUGUCUACACUUGCGGAAAGUAUAGCUCAGAAGUGGGAUUUGCAAAUAUGGGAAAUAAAGAAUAGGGAUGUUAAAUUUUGCUAUUGUUCAAAUUUAUAGCUUAUAAAGUAAUAACAAAGUGUCAGGCAAGUAAGAGGUCUCAGUGUGGGAGAUUGCAGACUUUUUUGCAGACUUGAGAAAAUCAUCAGUUCUGGAUUGAAAGGUACUUUAGCAAUAAAGUCUGAACAUUUAUAGCUUUGUUCUGCUAUAUGAAUUACAAGGGUUACAAUUUAGUUAUUUAUUUUGCACAAUAUAAAGAAACUUAGUGUAAAGAAUGUGUGUGAAAGAUAAUAAAGGAUUUCUGAUGGAGGGUUUUCCCACAGGUGGUUAUGAUGAAGAGAUGCCAGGACCUGCUUCUAAAUUGCUGGGUGGAUAAAAACUCUGGAAGGACUUGAAACUGCUGAUAGAUGAACGCAGGAAGGUGAAAUAAUUGUGAACAAAAUGGGAUGCCUGGUACAUAUGGAACAAGGAGUUUUUGAGUUACAGGUGAAGACAGUAAAUAUUGAAACCCUAGCUUAUAACACUGCUUAUUCUCAUUUUAUAACACUGAUUUUUUAAAACCCAGUCUGAAAUAAAGAUUAUGUAAAAUAAGUAGUUAAUUUGCUU
rnacentral:lncRNA from 1 species